CCUAGAAAAAAGCAAAGUUGUCGAAAGACAAUGACGCAAAGCCAACAGGCCUAAAGGAAGUUUCCAAAGGUGGCUGGGUUGCCAAA
rfam:Paenibacillus sp. FSL H8-0548 NODE_60_length_36599_cov_1.88071_ID_11408, whole genome shotgun sequence.